rnacentral:lncRNA from 1 species
CCUGGCUCUGCCUUACUUGGCUUGUGAGGAGAGGUUCCUUUCAAAGCACUUUCUGUCUUCUGUGUUUCCUUACAGGUUUGACCCCAUGUUGGCCUUUGGAUAUCAACAAUGAUUGUAGGUUAAUGAUUGGGUGGAGGCACAAGCCCAUCAAGACCAUGCAUGGGGUCAAUAGAAGGAAUGAAAAAGAUACAUCUUGAAUAGCUGAGUUUAUGAUCUAGGCCAUAUACAUACAUACAUAUACACAUACAUAUAUAAUUGUUUGAGAUAAGCUAUGUAUAUAUAUGCAUAUGUGCAUGUGUAUGUAUAUGUUACAUGUAUAUUUUGUAUACAUGCAUGUGUAUAGGUAUAAGUAUAGUAUAGGUAUAGAUGUGGUGGUUUGAAUGAAAAUGGCCCCCAAAGGCUCAUAUACUUGAAUGCUUGGUCCACCCUUGGUGGAACUGUUUGGGAAGGAUUAGAAGGCAUGGCCUUCCUUGUUGAAGGAUGUGUGUCACUGGAGUUGAGCUUUGAGGUUCAAAAACUUGUGCCAUUCCCAGUUAGUUCUCUCUCUUUGCUCUUGCUUGUGGAUUGGCUAUAACUCUCAGUUACUGCUCCAUUGUCAUACCUGCCUGUUGCCAUGGUGAUCAUGGGCUUUAGCUUUCUGGAACCAUGAACCUUCAAAUUAAAUGGUUUCCUUCCUGAGUUGCCUCCAUCAUAGUUUUGUCACAUAAAUAGAAAAGUAACUAGGAUAAUACAUAUAUGGUUUCAUUUGCAUGUAUAUAAAUAUGCAUGCAUAUACCUUUUUUGAGAUAAGGUCUAAUGUCUCUCAGGCUAGCCUCAAACUUAAUGCAUAGCUAAGAAUGUCUUGAAGUUCUGAUCCUCAUGCCUCUGUCUCCUGAGUGCUGGGAUUACAGGUGUAUAUUACCAUGUGUGAUGGUUUGUAUAUCCUUGGACCAGGGAGUGGCACCAUCUGGAGGUGUGGCCUUGUUGGAAUAGGCGUGACCUGGUUGGAAUGGAUGUGUCACUGUGGGUGUGGGUAUAAGAUCCUCACCCUAGUUGCCUGGAAGUCAGUCUUCCACUAGCAACUUUUGGAUGAAGACAUAGAACUCUUAGCUCCUCCUGUGCCAUGCCUGCCUGGAUACUGCCAUGCUCCACCUUGAUGAUAAUGGACUGAACCUCUGAACCUGUAAGCCAGCCCCAAUUAAAUGUUGUUUUUUAUAAGACUUGCCUUGGUCAUGGUGUCUGUUCACAGCAGUAAAACCCUAACUAAGACACCAUGCCUAUCUGUUUUUAUGUGGUACUGGGAGGGGGUAGUUUCUAUCCCAGGGCUUUGUGUGUUCUAGGCAAUCACUCUAGAACUGAACUACAUCUCCAGUCCUUCCUAGUCAUAUUCUUAUUUAUCACCAUGUAAACUUAAGUUGUAAUGGACACUGAAAUACUGAACAUUUCUAGUGAAAAAUCUGUGUUAGCUAGCAGUCUGUUACUGUAACACAAUACCCAGCACAGUCAACUUAUUAGGAGAAAAAGUUUCUUUGGCUCAUGGUUUCAUAGGUUUCUUUGUACAUUGGUAGGUUGGGUUGCAUUGAGCCUGUGUUGAAAUAGGAUGUCAUGUGAAGAGCACGUGUCAGAGCUUUCUGUUCAUCACGCCAUCCAGGAAAGAAAGAGGAGGAGACCAAGGUUCCACAAAUCUCUUAGAAUGUACUUACUCAGUGACUACUUUCCUUCCACUAGGUCUCACUCUCAAAGACUCUGCCACUUCCCAGUGGAGUGAUAGACUGGGACCAAACCUUUGCCACAGGGGCCUUUGGGGGACAUUUACACAAAGCACAGCAAGAGAAAACCUUUCGUUCAAUUACCUACUAGGGUUUAGACUCUGAGGUUAGUUAGAGCCACCUCUAAUGACUCACGGCCAGCUGAAGCCUUGCACUAUGGAAAAAGAUCAAUUAUUCUAGCCAUUGAUUUCCCUUUGUCUAUUGUUUGUCGCUCUCUCUAUGCCUUCAUCUAUAGCAGGCUGUUCAGGGAAGGUAGACACAGCUCACAUGGUUUGGUGACGACAUGCUGUUUGUCAUUAGCUUUUCCAGUCUUUGUUAUUCCCAACUAUGUUUGUAGCUAUCCUUCCAAGGUCACUUCACCACCGUCCUUGUCUCUUCAUGGGGCCACUGUGGAAUCUUGAACAGAAAACUGUGCAGAUGAGUUUUGGAGGAACCCGAGGAUGGAGAAAGAAGGCGGCCCUCUCUCUACAAGCCAUCAACACAAUGUGCUGGGACUUUGAUCUUGGACUUUCAACCUCCAGAACUGUGAAGAAAUCAACUUCUUUUGCUUAAUCCACCCAACCUAUGCCAGCCACCAGCCAUGGACACGUCUCCACACACCCCGCCCUGUUCCACAGGCCUGGCAUGGACAGAGGUGAAGCCGAGGGCACUGUCCACUCCAGAACAGAUUGGUCUUGUCUGCAUGGGGAUGGGCAGAACCACAGAGGAACCUCCCUCAGGGCAGUUGUGGGAAACACACCUGCACAUGAAGGGCAUCGGAUGCAGGACAGCUCUUCUCCCUGUGGCUGAGCGGCUCAGCGAUGGGGGCUUGAUUUUACCCACGGAUUUCUUAUGGAAUCCCACAGAACCAUAGGUGGACACAACUUCAGAGUCUGCCACUGGUACCCACUCAUCCACAUCCACAUGGUAUGUUACCCCACCUCUGUAUCUGUGACACCAGAAUGACAAGCCGCUCACUGAUGUGGUAAUGCUGAGUGCUAGGGUGAGGGCUGGGACUCUGAGCUGGGCAAUCUCUGAGCCCCAUCCUGUGUCUCAGAACUGGCCAUCCUCUUCUUCCUCCACCACCAUCCAGCCCCACGUGGCUCGACUGAAGUCCCGGAGAAGCCUUUGGGGCUGCUCCCUGCCGCUGCCUCUGCCCCUGUAGGGAGAGCUGUUGGCCCAGAAGUGGGAUGAACCGGGGUCACCAGGAGGCCAGGACUGGUGCCUGCUGCUGGCUGCAUCUCACCCUGCAGAUGUGACCUUUGACCCCUCCAGGAGGUUUGCUUUCGGGGCCUGACCCCUUCUUACCUUACAGUUUUCGAACGGUGUGCGUUUCCUGCCCGUCUUGUCCACCAGCCCUGGAAGAACAGGGCUGUGGAAAAGCUACUCUGGCCUUCCUGUGCCCCAACCUUGCCUGGCAGAGGCUCUCAUGCAUAUUUUACAGGGUCUGAGUGCACAGUGCUCACUUUACAGCCAGAGGCUCCAAGAGGGUCCAUCUUUCUGAAGUCAAGACCUGAAGACAGGUCUCCACCUCCUCCAGGUGUCUGCAGUCCCAUUGAGCUGGCGCUGAAUUUGUCCUCUGUCCCUCCAAGUCUUCCUGCCUCUCCGCUGAGGUACAGUCUGCAGGUCCUUUGUCCUUUGUCCCGUUCAGUGAUGCUCCAAGCUGAGCCUGACUGCCACCUCUACCUAGUUGAAUUCCCAUGGGGAUUGCUGGCACAUAUCAUCUGGAACGGAAACCACACAUUCCUCCUGCUACUGUGAUCCACAAUUCUCUCUCUCUCUCCCUUCCUUCCUUCCUUCCUUCCUUCCUUCCUUCCUUCCUUCCUUCCUUCCUUCCUCCCUCCCU